GGCGGCGUGCCUAAUACAUGCAAGUCGAGCGAACCGACGGGAGCUUGCUCUUAGGUUAGCGGCGGACGGGUGAGUAACACGUGGGUAACCUGCCUGUAAGACUGGGAUAACUCCGGGAAACCGGGGCUAAUACCGGAUGCUUGAUUGAACCGCAUGGUUCAAUUAUAAAAGGUGGCUUUUAGCUACCACUUACAGAUGGACCCGCGGCGCAUUAGCUAGUUGGUGAGGUAACGGCUCACCAAGGCGACGAUGCGUAGCCGACCUGAGAGGGUGAUCGGCCACACUGGGACUGAGACACGGCCCAGACUCCUACGGGAGGCAGCAGUAGGGAAUCUUCCGCAAUGGACGAAAGUCUGACGGAGCAACGCCGCGUGAGUGAUGAAGGUUUUCGGAUCGUAAAACUCUGUUGUUAGGGAAGAACAAGUACCGUUCGAACAGGGCGGUGCCUUGACGGUACCUAACCAGAAAGCCACGGCUAACUACGUGCCAGCA
rnacentral:rRNA from 1 species